rnacentral:rRNA from 5 species
GCGACCCCAUGUCAGGCGGGACUACCCGCUGAGUUUAA